CUUUGGGCUGCCGCGCCCUAUGUGAGCUGUCUAGCGCCCACCCUCACCCCCGGCUGCCCGUCAACGUCAUCCCUUCACGGCUAUAUAAAGGGCCGCCUCCGUGCCUCUCUCGCACACAGCUCUGCUUCCUUUUGCCCUUCCCCUUCUGCCUAUCCCGGGCUCCCCUUUCUUUCCUCAGUGGCUCCGGGGUCCGCGGCCCCGUGUCCGUUCAGCUCCCCACCAGCGUUUUCCAGGCGGUUCGGAAUGUCUUCCAGGUUCAACGAUUCCGUUGCAGACGCACAGCUCUGGCUCCAGUCGUCUGCUUAAUGUCCUCAAAUAAGAUAUUUGCAGGCGUAUAAUAAGUGACACCAGUGGCCUUGUUCCCAGCGAACAACAACCCAACAAAGUUGGCCACACAAUCAACUAUGAAAGACCCAGAAUCGCCUCUUUUCGAGAAGGCCUCUGACCCUGGCAGACUGGUAACGGAGCACUCAUUGGCGACAAUUAUAUUUCCAGUUUUCCAACACUUAAGCUCUAAGACUUUCAAGCCACUAAAACGGCCAAUGGUAAAAUUCGUUCUUCGACCGAACUUGUACAGUCGUUGAUAUUGCGAAAACUUGGCAUCAGCGGGAUCAUCCACAGCCUCACCGGAGAACGUGAUACCCAUAUGCUCGUCAAUGUAUGAACCGACUGGUGGGAACUAUUAACCGAUGUCAGAAAAAGCUCGCGAGACUGUACGUUUGUUAAAGAAAAAGAUAUACACCCACUUUGUUCUGCCCCACACGAUUUUGAUACACAGAUAUUAACGCCCAAUCUAGCUGGCGUUUGUCAUUACCAGAGGUCAGCCGGAACCCAGACGCAGCAUAAACUCUCCCCAAUGUUGCGGAUCCGGUGUUGAAAUGCUUUUCCGCACGGAGUUUUAGAGAAAGAGCGUUGAGGAUGGCUUUCUCCAUGUUUUCAAAUAUCAGUUCUUCCUUUGGGAUAAUGAAGUCACCGUCAUUCCUGGCCUUCUUGACUCGCUUGUACAGAGAUUGCUCCCUGACUGUCUCGAUAUUCUGCUUGAUCAUCUUCAUCCGUGCAUUGUGGUCUUUCAAGGAGGGCUGAUCGAUGCGGAUAUUCGCCUUGCUCGACUCCAGCACUGACAUUCCUAUAUCUCUCCAUCGCUCAAUAUCUAAGCACUGAUUAGCCAUGGGUACAAUGUCGAGAAAUUUCCCUAGUGAGAAGAAUUUUACCACAGUAUUGAAACCAGAUAAGGGGUGUGCAAAUUCGUCUUCAAAGCACAAAAAGCAAAAACUAAACACAAAAAAGAGAGAGACAGAGUAUAGAGUUGGAGCUUACCUUUUCCCAGCUUAGAAUUAGGUGGGACGUUUCCUGGUUCAACUGCAUGAUAGCAUGUGAGGCCAAACACGUGCCAUUUGUUCUUUUCUGAGUCCAGCAACUCGACGAAUCCGCCCAAAGUAGAGCCACCGUGAUCUGAAUUAUGGACCCCAAUGCUCGCGCCCAGUUUCACCUUUGUCUCCCAUGCAUGGUCAGGGAGGAUGACACUAGUCAAGCCGACUUCUGUUCCUCGCCAGAUCGUGCUUCGGAUAAUCUCAACAGCAACCUCUCCAAGUCCUUCAUUAUCCAGAAGCAUAGAAAUCUCAUCGCGUUUGCUCUUCCAUUCUUUGGUGGUAUCACGAGGCACGGUCAACAAAACAGUGGGAUGACUUUCUUGGGCAUCUUGGCUUGUACCCCUCCGAAAACACUCAAGAGACAACCAACCCUCUAAACCAAGGAGGUCACAAAUUUUGCGAGAGAUGUCAUCCCACUUGCUAUAAAUAGGAUCUUUAGGCAUCACAGGAGAUGUGAUCUUUUCAAUAUUCGCUCUCUCGUCGAUCAACUCCACACUAACGUUGUCGAAGCCCGAGGACCACAGAAUCGACAGGACAUCUUUGCACGUGUUUUUCCAGGAAUUGCCUCGCUCAGUUCUAUGUGCACAGAUGAGGACCGUUUCAAUCGGGCCUUCAUCUUCAUAUGUUUCAGACGUUCGAAGGCAUGGAUCCAUGGUGCUAUGAUGGAUCCGAUACUUCGAGAGGAUUUCGAUGAACUUAGGGCGUAGCUCUGGCCACUGUCUCUCGAGUGGAUGAUCUGACGCAAGUGGAGUACCUAUGGCAGGAACAGUGCAUAGAAACGGGCCACCGACCCGAAAAUCUUCGCUAAGAAUGCCAUCUUCAGUCUCAUCCUCAUCAGUGCUUGAACCACGAGUCCUUCUGAAACGCUCUUGCGAGAUGUGAGGUGAUGGUAGCGACACUGGGGGUUCAGACAGAAACCGCAGAACAGGUGAGGCAUAUGCUUCCUCGGAGCUCCUAUUCAUCCGCCUUCUGGAGGAGGCAGUAGUUGCAGUUUGGGACAUGGUGAACGCUUCCACGAGACCUACGCGCGAUGAUAAGUAGAAGUUUAGAAAUGGACAAGAAAUGUUUUUGAGAAUAAUGAAACUGCACAGAGGUGCAGCCGCUGCAGAAGAAAGAGGACAAAAAUUCCCAACUCCGAUGUGUUGAAGUGCAGAGCCCAGGGAGGAAAGAAUAGAGAAAGAACCGCUUGGAACAUUGUAAAGCCGGGUGUGCAGUCCAGCGGAUCCUUUGGUGAUUAUGACUCAAGUAAAAUAGAAUCAUGGUGUCUCCUAUAAAAUGUACACAGUAUUCGACGGUCAAGCCCAAACUCUGUUGCGCUCUGUAAAAGCCAUACUAGGAAGAAUCGUUGAAACCAC
rnacentral:sRNA from 2 species